rnacentral:rRNA from 1 species
CAGUAGCCGCGGGAAUACGUAGGUGGCAAGCGUUGUCCGGAAUUAUUGGGCGUAAAGGGCUCGCAGGCGGUUUCUUAAGUCUGAUGUGAAAGCCCCCGGCUCAACCGGGGAGGGUCAUUGGAAACUGGGAAACUUGAGUGCAGAAGAGGAGAGUGGAAUUCCACGUGUAGCGGUGAAAUGCGUAGAGAUGUGGAGGAACACCAGUGGCGAAGGCGACUCUCUGGUCUGUAACUGACGCUGAGGAGCGAAAGCGUGGGGAGCGAACAGGAUUAGAUAUCCCAGUAGUCCCUGUCUCUUAUAC